rnacentral:rRNA from 1 species
UUACGACUACAUAUCAGGCAUAUCAAUAAGCGGAGGAAAAGAAACUAACUAGGAUUCCCUCAGUAACGGCGAGUGAAGCGGGAAGAGCUCAAAUUUGAAAUCUUCAAGGUUCUACCUUGACGAAUUGUAGUUUAAAGAAGUGUUUUCUGUUGGUGUUUUGGUAAAAGUUCUUUGGAAUAGGACAUCAUAGAGGGUGAGAAUCCCGUAUUUGACCAUUACUUCCAGCGUUGUGAUACACUUUCAAAGAGUCGGAUUGUUUGGGAAUGCAGUCCAAAAUGGGUGGUAAAUUUCAUCUAAAGCUAAAUAUUGGCGAGAGACCGAUAGCGAACAAGUACCGUGAGGGAAAGAUGAAAAGAACUUUGAAAAGAGAGUUAAACAGUACGUGAAACUGUCAAAGGGAAGCGUUUGACACCAGUGUUGUUUUCUCGAAAAUCAAUUAAAAAGUAUGGGAUUUUGUAUUGUUAAGACCUUAUCAGCUUACGGUACUUUUUUCUUAUUCUUUUUAAUGCACUUUUCGUUUAACAAGUCAACAUCAAUUUCUUUUGUUGUAAAAGAGUCAUUGGAAGGUGGCUUUCACUUCGGUGAAAGUGUUUAUAGCCUUUGGCUUCUGCAAUCGGAGAGAUUGAGGUCUGCAGCGUAGAUCCUUCGGGGUUAGAUACGUAGAUGCUAAGUUAUAGUUUUUCAUAGACAACUUGUUGACUAUGAUUAAUCAUGUAGCUUACUCGUUUGCGCUAUUUUACCUACGCUUAGGAUGUUGAAUCUGUGCGAGACUAC